rnacentral:miRNA from 1 species
CUCCAGAUGUUGCUGAACUACAACUCUCAUGAUUCUCAGCCUAUUUAAUUCAUAAAAUCAUGGGUAUUGUAAUUCAGCAACAUCUGGAG